rnacentral:rRNA from 1 species
AAGGGCUCGCAGGCGGUUUCUUAAGUCUGAUGUGAAAGCCCCCGGCUCAACCGGGGAGGGUCAUUGGAAACUGGGAAACUUGAGUGCAGAAGAGGAGAGUGGAAUUCCACGUGUAGCGGUGAAAUGCGUAGAGAUGUGGAGGAACACCAGUGGCGAAGGCGACUCUCUGGUCUGUAACUGACGCUGAGGAGCGAAAGCGUGGGGAGCGAACAGGAUUAGAUACCC